rnacentral:rRNA from 1 species
AUUAGAUUAAAAACCAAUGCCCUUCGGGGCUCUCUGGUGAUUCAUGAUAACUUCUCGAAUCGCAUGGCCUUGCGCCGGCGAUGGUUCAUUCAAAUUUCUUCCCUAUCAACUUUCGAUGUUUGGGUAUUGGCCAAACAUGGUUGCAACGGGUAACGGAGGGUUAGGGCUCGACCCCGGAGAAGGAGCCUGAGAAACGGCUACUACAUCCAAGGAAGGCAGCAGGCGCGCAAAUUACCCAAUCCCGACUCGGGGAUGUAGUGACAAUAAAUACUGAUACAGGGUUCUUUCGGAUCUUGUAAUUGGAAUGAGUACAAUUUAAAUCCCUUAACGAGGAACAAUUGGAGGGCAAGUCUGGUGCCAGCAGCCGCGGUAAUUCCAGCUCCAAUAGCGUAUAUUAAAGUUGUUGUGGUUAAAAAGCUCGUAGUUGAACCUUGGGCCUGGCUGGCCGGUCCGCCUCACCGCGUGUACUGGUCCGGCCGGGCCUUUCCCUCUGUGGAACCCUAUGCCCUUCACUGGG